CUUCCUGAUGCAGUUUAGGGUUCAGGACAUUAAUUCAAUCUAUUAUUUUGUGUAGAGUGCAAGCACUUCUUGGCCCACUAUGAAACCCUUUUCAAGUCAUGCUUGAAGUUGAAAUUCAUGCCUUAAGGAGGCAAUUUUAAAAACGAAUUCAGUUUAGACUGCUUUGAUAGAAGAACUGUGUUUUUGUGCCUAAUUUUUUUCUCAGAACAUAUAAAUAAGGUUUUACUGAGGUCCAUAUUCAUAGCCUUCUUCUGGACUCGGUCGAGUUGGCAAUUUUUUUUAAUCUCAAAGCCAUUAUAGUUUUUGUUUAAUGUUUUAUUCUUUUAUUACUUUCUGCGAAUAACCAAGUAGUUAUGCUUUUCUUCUAUCAUCAUUUCCAUUAACUCUAUAUUCUUAUGUAUUUGCAGUCCUUCGUGCUGUUUUGGACAUUCGCUUAUGACAUUGUACAUAUAUUCUGAGAAGGGAAGGAGGGCUCCCUCCACAUCACUUGAAGGCAACAAGAUGAUGUACCAGAGCAGAACCCCUCAUGGUUCACAAGUAUAAUUUUAUAACUUCAGCUUAUCUUUUCAAACUAGAGGCGUAAAAAGAGAGAAAUUCUCUCUUCACCAGCAUAUAUUUUAUUCCUGGCAAUGUAAACUUUAGCAGCCAUUCAGUCAUUGUUUGCGUACAUUUGGACUGACCUGCUGUGAAACAUUUCUUCUUCAACUAUUUUUGAAAACCUUUAAAUUUGUUACUGUUUGACUAUGUAGAAUAUAGUGUUUUUUUCUGUAUAUUUUUUUCAUCUUUUUCGUAAAUGUCUGAACCAUUCCAGAUCUGAACUGUUUCUGGUCAACUUGAUUUCCCAUCUCCAUUAGGAUCUUAAAUUUUAGGUUUUGUUUGAUUC